AACGAACGCUGGCGGCGCGCCUAAUACAUGCAAGUCGAGCGAGAAGACGUAGCAAUACGUUUGUAAAGCGGCGAACGGGUGAGGAAUACAUGGGUAACCUACCCUCGAGUGGGGAAUAACUAGCCGAAAGGUUAGCUAAUACCGCGUACGCUCCUUGGACUUCGGUUCAGGGAGGAAAGCGAUACCGUGGGUAUCGCGCUCUUGGAUGGGCUCAUGUCCUAUCAGCUUGUUGGUGAGGUAACGGCUCACCAAGGCUUCGACGGGUAGCUGGUCUGAGAGGACAAUCAGCCACACUGGCACUGCGACACGGGCCAGACUCCUACGGGAGGCAGCAGUAAGGAAUAUUGCGCAAUGGGCGAAAGCCUGACGCAGCGACGCCGCGUGGGGGAGUGAAGGUCUUCGGAUUGUAAACCCCUUUCGGGAGGGAAGAUGGAACGAGCAAUCGUUCGGACGGUACCUCC
rnacentral:rRNA from 1 species